AAUGAUGUAAAUCUUAUCAUAUUAGUGGUCCUACUAUUGUGCAAGUAGUGGAUGCAAGUAGUGGGCUAAGAUCAUGUAAAUAAUGGAUUAGUGCCUUAAUUUGUAUAAGUAGCGGGUAAUGUGGAGUUCAUGAUAGCUAAUUUUAGGAGAACAAUAUGUGUUGAGUUAGGUUUUCUUGAACCUCAAGUUUUUUCUUUUAUUUAAGUCGAUCCAUGAACUAAGUUUUUUGAACAAAAGUGUUUAUUUUCUUUCACUUAAUUGCUGUAGUAAAAUUUAUUUGUGAGCUUUAAAUUCCUUUAGAAAGUCUCUUUCUUCUACAAAUUUCACUCAUCCCAAAAGCUAGAUUGCAUUAUCAUUUAUUCACCGUUUGGUUCGGAGUUAAGUAAAAACUUGUUAUUCCAGGAAUAUGGUUAAGUUCAAGGUUAAGGUGGAGUUAGAGUAAUUUUGUGUUUGGUUAAGAAUUGAGUUUAGUCCAGAUAUAGCUAAAAUAGUGUUUGGUUGGAGUAAGUGGGAUAAAAAGAAUAGUGGGUUAUUAUAAAUAAAAAUAAUAAUUUUGCCUUAAUUUUUAUAUUUGAAUUUAAAUUUAAAAUUUAAAUAAUUAAAAAUAAUAAUUUUAAAUUUUAAAUUAAAAUUUUAUUUUUAAAUCUCAAAUUUAAAAUUUAAAAUUACAAAUAUAAAAUGUCAAAUUUAAAAUUUAAAAAAUAUUAAAAAUAAUAAUUUAAAUUUUAAAAUUCAAAAUUCAAAAUUAAAAUCUACAUUUUUAAAUCUCAAAUUAAAAAAUUUAAAAUUAUAAAUAUAAAAUAUCAAAUUUAAAAUUUAAAUAUUUAAAAAUAUUAAUUUUUAAAAAAUUAAAUUUAAAAAUUUAAAAAUAAAUAUUAAUUUUAAAAUUAAAAUUUAUAAAUAUUUAAAAUUUUAAAUUUUAAAAUUAAAAUUUAUAUUUAUAUUAAAAAAUUAAAUAGGGGUGAGAUUAAGUUAAUAUGACCCGGACUAUUCCGGAAGAGUCCAUUUGGGCUGGGAUUAGCUAACCCCAUCCUCCAAAUUCGGUGUUUGCGAACAACUUCGGGGUUAAGGGCCUGUUUGGAUGUACAGUAAAAAAUUUCCACGGAAUUUAUAAACUGUGGUUUUGGUCUAGAUAAAAUAGAGAAUCCUACAACUCUAAAAAUUUCUACGGAUUUAAUUUUUAAACUGUUUGGAUACGCAUUGUACAAUUUCACGAAAUUUUUCUAAAUUUUAAAAUUAAAAGUUAAAAUUUAAAAUUUAAAGUUUCAAUAAAAAUUUAAAAUUUAAAAUUUGAUAUGUGAAAUGUUAAAUUUUGAAUUUUAAAUUUUAAAUUUUUAAACUUGAAAUUUAAAAAUUUAAAAUUUAAAUUAUAAAAAUCUAAAUUUAAUUUUUAAAUUUUUUAAUUUAAAAUUUUAAAUAAAAAAUUUAAAAUUUAAAUUUUGAAAUUUGAAAUUUAGAAUUUUAAAUUUUAAAUUUUAAAUUUAAAAAAUAAAUUUAAAAUUUAAAGUUUAAAAAAUAAAUUUAAAAUUUAAAGUUUAAAAUUUGAAAUUUGAACUAUGAGAUUUGAGAUUUGAAAUUUCAAAUUUGAAAUUUAAAUUUUAAAUUUUAAAAGUUAAAAUUUAAAUUUUAAAGUUUGAAAUUUAAAAUUUAAAAUUUAAAAUUUAAAUUUAUAUUUGAAAUUUUAUUUAAAAUAAAAAAUAAAAAAUUUAAAAUUUGAUAUUUAAAAUUUAAAUUUUAAAAAAUACAUUUUAUCUUAAUUCAGUUUGUACAUUUUGAAUAUACAAUUUUAUAUAGAAUUUUGUUGAAUCCUAAUUUUUCUAAAUUCUAAACUUUUAUAUGCAUUGAAUAACUCUGUAAUUUUGAAUUUUUAUUAUGAAUUCCCAAUUCAAAAUUAAGGUAGAAAAUUCAGAGUUCAGCCAGGUAAUACGGAAUUCAGCUAGGUAAUUCAAAAUUCCAUGAUAUUUUGAACAUUAUUGAUUUGGCACUAAAGCCAACUCGGUUUGCAGCGGCAAUUGCAUAAAAACCCACAUGCAUACCGAAAGUAAGGGGUAGGUUGUCAUUUUUAAUUUGAACCUUUUUGUAUUUAUCAAAUAUCUUGAGAUAGUUAAGCUAUAUGUUAUUAACAUUAGGGUCUCUCCUAUAGAACAAUUUUAAGAAUUUGGAAUUUAUGUUAAGAAUUUAGAAUUUAGAAUUUAGAAUUUUGAAUCAGAAUGUGAAUUAAUAUGAAAGGUUGGUUACGGCAAUAGUAUUACAAUAACAAAACAAUAGUAAAAAAAAGGUCCAUAUAAAAUAUCAAAAUUCAAGGUAUUUGUCGGCAAAGAGUUUGUGUAUGAUGAGAAAAAUAUAUUAUUAAUGUAAGGGUCUUUACCACAGAACAAUUUUAAAAUUAUCAGCAAGAAUGACUUGUUAAGGUAGA
rnacentral:lncRNA from 1 species